AGCCUUUGGAAAGGAUUAAAGGUUAUACCUGCCCAAUGUUAUAUUAAUGGCCGCGGUACUUUGACCGUGCUAAGGUAGCACAAUCAAUUGGCCCUUAAUUAGGGUCAGGUAUGAAUGGAGUUACGGGGCUUAGCUGUCUCUAGACUAUUUAAUUGAAGUUGCUAUAUAGGUGAAAAAGCCUGUAUUAAGAAAAAAGACGAGAAGACCCUUAGAGUUUUACUUAAAAAAGAGUUAUUUCUUCACUAGUUUUGUUGGGGCAACAUAGGAGAAGAACUAAACCUCCUAAAGGAUAUAAACCGAUGUUUUUAAAUGUGAAUAAACUACCUUAGGGAUAACAGCAUAAUUUUAAAAAUAAGUUUGUGACCUCGAUGUUGGACUAGGAAACUUAAGGGCUAGCCGCCUUUUGGUAAGGU
rnacentral:rRNA from 1 species